rnacentral:rRNA from 1 species
AUUGAACGCUGGCGGCAUGCCUUACACAUGCAAGUCGAACGGUAACGCGGGGCAACCUGGCGACGAGUGGCGAACGGGUGAGUAAUGCAUCGGAACGUGCCCAGUAGUGGGGGAUAGCCCGGCGAAAGCCGGAUUAAUACCGCAUACGACCUAAGGGUGAAAGGGAGGGAUCGCAAGACCUCUCGCUAUUGGAGCGGCCGAUGUCAGAUUAGGUAGUUGGUGGGGUAAAGGACUACCAAGCCGACGAUCUGUAGCUGGUCUGAGAGGACGACCAGCCACACUGGGACUGAGACACGGCCCAGACUCCUACGGGAGGCAGCAGUGGGGAAUUGUGGACAAUGGGCGCAAGCCUGAUCCAGCCAUGCCGCGUGCGGGAAGAAGGCCUUCGGGUUGUAAACCGCUUUUGUCAGGGAAGAAAUCUUCUGAGUUAAUACCUCGGGAGGAUGACGGUACCUGAAGAAUAAGCACCGGCUAACUACGUGCCAGCCGCCGCCGUAACAC